rnacentral:rRNA from 1 species
GGAAAGAUGAAAAGAACUUUGAAAAGAGAGUUAAACAGUACGUGAAAUUGUUGAAAGGGAAACGAUUGAAGUCAGUCAUACCAACGGGAAAUCAACCUUUUGAGCUCGGUCUCGUGGGUUUUGAAGAGUUUCAAAGCCUUCGGAUUCGCGGGAUUGGGAUCUCUUGGCGUACUUUUUCGUACGGUUAGUCAACAUCGGUUUUGAAUGUCAUAAAAUGACUGGAGGAAUGUAGCUUCGAUCUCGUAUUGAAGUGUUAUAGCCUUUGGUAGAUGUGAUGUUUGAGACCGAGGAUUGCAACGGAUACCCUUCAGGGCUAUUCGUCUGAUCUCUGAUACGUUGCCUUGAUGUUGAAAGCUUGCUUAUGAUGUUAGGGUAUUACGGUCAAAAAGGUUAGAACGAAUUACAUUCGCUAAGGAUGUUGACGUAAUGACUUUAAACGACCCGUCUUGAAACACGGACCA